rnacentral:antisense_RNA from 1 species
GAUAACCAUAAAUAACUGCUGGAUUGAGAGUUGGGCCUGUCACCAGGCGGACGGUUCCCGUUCCCGCAUCAUACAGUCCACCCCAAUACAUGGCUUUGCCAACUCGCUAUAAGGCCCCUAAUCCUAGAAAUAGCAGAUGAUGUCCUAAAAUCAACCCCAACUGCUUGGGAUCGUCCCA